rnacentral:misc_RNA from 1 species
AACGCACAUUGCGCCCCCUGGUAUUCCGGGGGGCAUGCCUGUUCGAGCGUCAUUACAACCCUCAAGCUCUGCUUGGUAUUGGGCGUCACCCCCGGGUGCGCCUCAAAAUCAGUGGCGGUGCCGUCUGGCUUCAAGCGUAGUAAUACUUCUCGCUUUGGAGUCCGGGCGAGCGUCCUGCCAAAACCCCCAUAUUUUUUUCAGGUUGACCUCGGAUCAGGUAGGGAUACCCGCUGAACUUAA